GUAUGAAGACUUUGGUCUGUUCUAACUUAAUUAGUUGACAAUGGCCAUGUUUGAAGGGAGAGGAGUUUCAGUAGUGCUAUUGAAUGAAAUCCUUUGCAGUUUGUAUGUUUAGGCUGAUUCACUACAGGGGUCUGUCAGUAAACGGCAGGUCAAUGGCAAUGUAAGAAACAGGCCUCAGAGAAUUAGUAGAGAUAGUCAGAGCUAAGGAUGCAUAGGAAGACAGGUCCUCUUUGAAAGGAUAAACCCAAAGUUAAUUCAGGGGGAAUUCAGACCAGUAAUGAAUGAUCCAUGUGCAUGCUUUGGCAGAGCUUUGCUGUGUUUGGAGUGUACUCAUAUUGGCUGUGCUAAGGAGGUGUGAAGUUUAGGCAUGAGUGAGGAGACUGAAUCAGGUGUGCAACAUUCCUCUAACUGUGGCAUGCCUCAAAUCUGCUCAGCCACAGCCCCAAUGCAAAUAUCUGUCUAGCACUAACAGAUUUUAGGGAUGCACCUUCAGUUAGCACUCUAUAUUCCAACAGGAUUUAAAAUCUACUGCUGCAAAAUAUUGACUUGGAUAAAAUAUAGCAGUGGACUAUUGACUGCAAAAAUAACAUUUAAUUCCUACAAGGCCAGCCCUAUAGCCCAUCAAAUGUGAGGGAACAGUCUCAAUUUUUCAUGCUUCUUGGCCACUGGACUAAUUGGUGGUUUUAGGUGGACUUCAAAUACAGCUACAGCUGUUGACUUUGCUGUGGUGAAAAACAAACGGCCGUGUAGUUGAGGACCCAGCUCACACAGAACACACUAAUUUCAUUGUGAGCUCAGGAAGCCUGUGGCAGAGCUGGGAUUGAAAUGUGCAACAUGCCAAACAGAUGUACGGUCUCGCACCGAGGCCCACACGGAUCGUUGCCAAGCUCCUGAGCCACAGAAACAGGUGGAGGGUGCCUACUAAUCUCUUAUUAAAAUGGAGAAGUAUUCUA